UACGGGGGGGGUAAGCGUUGUUCGGAAUUACUGGGCGUAAAGGGCUCGUAGGCGGCCAACUAAGUCAGACGCGAAAUCCCUCAGCUUAACUGGGGAACUGCGUCUGAUACUGGAUGGCUUGGAUUCGGGAGAGGAAUGCGGAAUUCCAGGUGUAGCGGUGAAAUGCGUAGAUAUCUGGAGGAACACCGGUGGCGAAGGCGGCAUUCUGGACCGAUAUUGACGCUGAGGUGCGAAAGCGUGGGGAGCAAACAGG
rnacentral:rRNA from 1 species